rnacentral:tRNA from 1 species
UGCAUCGGCCUGGAAUCGAACCCGGGCCUCCCGCGUGGCAGGCGAGCAUUCUACCACUGAACCACCGAUGG